rnacentral:tRNA from 1 species
AACCGAUAUGGUCUAGGUGGUAAGACGCUACACUUUUAAUGUAGAGACGUGAGUUCGAAUCUCGCUGCGGUUA